UCUUCUGUGGUACUCCACGAAGCCGCCGCCGCUGAUGACGAUGAGAACGUGAAGCAGUUGAAGGAAUGCUCUGCUCUGUACUUAUCCUUGCAAGAUUGUCUUGUUAAGAGCAACAGAAAUUGGAAAUCUUGUCAAAUGGAGGUUCAGGCUUUGAAGGCAUACACUGAGAGGAGAAAGAACAGCAGUGGGAAGUGAAUUUUUUAU